AGCGAACGCUGGCGGCAGGCCUAACACAUGCAAGUCGAGCGGCCGUAGCAAUACGGCAGCGGCAGACGGGAGAGUAACACGUGGGAACGUGCCCUUUGGUUCGGAAUAACGCAGGGAAACUUGCGCUAAUACCGAAUAAGCCCUUACGGGGAAAGACUUAUCGCCAUUGGAGCGGCCCGCGUCUGAUUAGCUAGUUGGUGGGGUAACGGCUCACCAAGGCGACGAUCAGUAGCNGGUCUGAGAGGAUGAUCAGCCUCACUGGGACUGAGACACGGCCCAGACUCCUACGGGAGGCAGCAGUGGGGAAUAUUGGACAAUGGGCGCAAGCCUGAUCCAGCCAUGCCGCGUGGAUGAUGAAGGCC
rnacentral:rRNA from 1 species